CUACGGGUCGCAGCAGUGGGGAAUAUUGGACAAUGGGCGAAAGCCUGAUCCAGCAAUGCCGCGUGUGUGAAGAAGGCCUGCGGGUUGUAAAGCACUUUCAGAUGGGAAGAUUAUGACGUUACCAUCAGAGGAAGCACCGGCUAACUCCGUGCCAGCAGCCGCGGUAAUACGGAGGGUGCAAGCGUUAAUCGGAAUUACUGGGCGUAAAGCGCGCGUAGGCGGCUAAGUUAGUCAGAUGUGAAAGCCCCGGGCUCAACCUGGGAAUUGCAUUUGAUACUGCUUAGCUAGAAUGUGGUAGAGGGUAGUGGAAUUCCAGGUGUAGCGGUGAAAUGCGUAGAUAUCUGGAGGAACAUCAGUGGCGAAGGCGACUACCUGGACCAACAUUGACGCUGAGGUGCGAAAGCGUGGGUAGCAAACAGGAUUAGAUACCCGCGUAGUC
rnacentral:rRNA from 1 species